CCUACGGGAGGCAGCAGUGAGGAAUAUUGGUCAAUGGACGAGAUCCUGAACCAGCCAUGCAGCGUGAAGGAUGACGGCCCUACGGGUUGUAAACUGCUUUUAUAUCGGGAUAAAACACCUUAUGCAUACGCUUUUGUAAGUACCAUAUGAAUAAGGAUCGGCUAACUCCGUGCCAGCAGCCGCGGUAAUACGGAGGAUCCGAGCGUUAUCCGGAUUUAUUGGGUUUAAAGGGUGCGUAGGUGGAUUGUUAAGUUAGUUGUGAAAGUCUGAGGCUCAACCGUAAAAUUGCAGUUGAAACUGGCAGUCUUGAGAACAGUAGCGGUGGGCGGAAUGUGUGGUGUAGCGGUGAAAUGCUUAGAUAUCACGAAGAACUCCGAUUGCGAAGGCAGUUCACUGGACUGCAACUGACACUGAGGCUCGAAAGUGUGGGUAUCAAACAGGAUUAGAUACCCUAGUAGUC
rnacentral:rRNA from 1 species